UGUGAAAACGCCCUUAAAUUCCCCAUAGGAAUAAGGAGCCGGUAUCAGGCACAAAAAUCCGCCCAAGACACCUAGCUAUGCCACACCCACAAGGGAACUCAGCAGUAAUUAAUAUUGAACAUAAGCGAUAGCUUGAUUCAGUUAAAGUAAAUAGAGCCGGCAAAUCUGGUGCCAGCCGCCGCGGGUACCCCAUGUGGCUCAAAUUGAUCUCUAUCGGCGUAAAGCGUGAUUAAAGCUUCCCCCUUUAUUGAAGGUAAACUAAAAUUAAGCUGUGACACGCUUGUUUUACAGAAAUCCAUAAACGAAAGGUACUUCAAUUUAAACAACUUGAAUACACCACAGGCGAGACACAAACUGGGAUUAGAUACCUCACUAUGCCUAAUCAUAAACUUUAAAUUACACCUUAAUCGCCAGAGAACUACGAGCAAAGCUUAAAACUCAAAGGACUUGACGGUACCCCAUAUACCCCUAGAGGAGCCUGUCCUAUAAUCGAUAUUCCACGUUUAACCUCACCACUUCUAGAUUUUCAGACUGUAUACCUCCGUCGUCAGCUUACCACGUGAGCGAGACUCAGUGAGCUUAAUGUCCAUACGCCUACACGUCAGGUCAAGGUGCAGU
rnacentral:rRNA from 1 species